UACGUAGGUGGCAAGCGUUAUCCGGAUUUACUGGGUGUAAAGGGCGUGUAGGCGGGUCUGCAAGUCGGGUGUGAAAUUUCCGGGCUUAACCCGGACAGGUCAUCCGAAACUGCAGAUCUUGAGUACUGGAGAGGAUAGCGGAAUUCCUAGUGUAGCGGUAAAAUGCGUAGAUAUUAGGAGGAACACCAGUGGCGAAGGCGGCUAUCUGGACAGUAACUGACGCUGAGGCGCGAAAGCGUGGGGAGCAAAC
rnacentral:rRNA from 1 species